AUACAUGACGUCAAGGAAGUGACACAGAUAAAUCAAAAAUGGAACAAGAAAAUAUCGAAACACUGAGGCUAUUCUAACCUUUCUUACAACCCAGUGACACGGUAUACUUGAUGUUCUCGAACAUAAUAUCGACGGCAUAGUGUAAACCUUCGUGUCGACUGCAUUCGUCUCCUGGCCAUUGCUCAUCUCGUGCAUCAGUACUUCCAUCGUCGAGUAUUUUGAGCGAGCUAAUUGCUCGCCGAUUAGUUGAACAUAGACAAGCAAACACCAUAAAA